rnacentral:rRNA from 2 species
GGGUUGUGAGGUUAAGCGACUAAGCGUACACGGUGGAUGCCCUGGCAGUCAGAGGCGAUGAAGGGCGUGCUAAUCUGCGAUAAGCGCCGGUAAGGUGAUAUGAACCGUUAUAACCGGCGAUACCCGAAUGGGGAAACCCAGUGUGAUUCGUCACACUAUCAUUAACUGAAUCCAUAGGUUAAUGAGGCGAACCGGGGGAACUGAAACAUCUAAGUACCCCGAGGAAAAGAAAUCAACCGAGAUUCCCCCAGUAGCGGCGAGCGAACGGGGAGGAGCCCAGAGCCUGAAUCAGCAUGUGUGUUAGUGGAAGCGUCUGGAAAGACGCGCGAUACAGGGUGACAGCCCCGUACACAAAAGCGCAUGUGCUGUGAGCUCGAUGAGUAGGGCGGGACACGUGGUAUCCUGUCUGAAUAUGGGGGGACCAUCCUCCAAGGCUAAAUACUCCUGACUGACCGAUAGUGAACCAGUACCGUGAGGGAAAGGCGAAAAGAACCCCGGCGAGGGGAGUGAAAAAGAACCUGAAACCGUGUACGUACAAGCAGUGGGAGCACAGGUUUACCUGUGUGACUGCGUACCUUUUGUAUAAUGGGUCAGCGACUUAUAUUCUGUAGCAAGGUUAACCGAAUAGGGGAGCCGGAGGGAAACCGAGUCUUAAUUGGGCGUUAAGUUGCAGGGUAUAGACCCGAAACCCGGUGAUCUAGCCAUGGGCAGGUUGAAGGUUGGGUAACACUAACUGGAGGACCGAACCGACUAAUGUUGAAAAAUUAGCGGAUGACCUGUGGCUGGGGGUGAAAGGCCAAUCAAACCGGGAGAUAGCUGGUUCUCCCCGAAAGCUAUUUAGGUAGCGCCUCGUGAAUUCAUCUCCGGGGGUAGAGCACUGUUUCGGCUAGGGGGCCAUCCCGGCUUACCAACCCGAUGCAAACUGCGAAUACCGGAGAAUGUUAUCACGGGAGACACACGGCGGGUGCUAACGUCCGUCGUGAAGAGGGAAACAACCCAGACCGCCAGCUAAGGUCCCAAAGUCAUGGUUAAGUGGGAAACGAUGUGGGAAGGCCCAGACAGCCAGGAUGUUGGCUUAGAAGCAGCCAUCAUUUAAAGAAAGCGUAAUAGCUCACUGGUCGAGUCGGCCUGCGCGGAAGAUGUAACGGGGCUAAACCAUGCACCGAAGCUGCGGCAGCGAACGUAUCACUUAAAGCGAUUCAGCGGGUUACGAUUGACGGAGCGAAGCGACGUCAAAGCGUAUACAAAGUCGAGUCGGUUUAAGGAUACGUUCGUUGGGUAGGGGAGCGUUCUGUAAGCCUGUGAAGGUGGCCUGUGAGGGUUGCUGGAGGUAUCAGAAGUGCGAAUGCUGACAUAAGUAACGAUAAAGCGGGUGAAAAGCCCGCUCGCCGGAAGACCAAGGGUUCCUGUCCAACGUUAAUCGGGGCAGGGUGAGUCGACCCCUAAGGCGAGGCCGAAAGGCGUAGUCGAUGGGAAACGGGUUAAUAUUCCCGUACUUGGUGUUACUGCGAAGGGGGGACGGAGAAGGCUAUGUUGGCCGGGCGACGGUUGUCCCGGUUUAAGCGUGUAGGCUGGUUUUCCAGGCAAAUCCGGAAAAUCAAGGCUGAGGCGUGACGACGAGGCACUACGGUGCUGAAGCAACAAAUGCCCUGCUUCCAGGAAAAGCCUCUAAGCAUCAGGUAACAUCAAAUCGUACCCCAAACCGACACAGGUGGUCAGGUAGAGAAUACCAAGGCGCUUGAGAGAACUCGGGUGAAGGAACUAGGCAAAAUGGUGCCGUAACUUCGGGAGAAGGCACGCUGACAUGUAGGUGAAGUGAUUUACUCAUGGAGCUGAAGUCAGUCGAAGAUACCAGCUGGCUGCAACUGUUUAUUAAAAACACAGCACUGUGCAAACACGAAAGUGGACGUAUACGGUGUGACGCCUGCCCGGUGCCGGAAGGUUAAUUGAUGGGGUCAGCGCAAGCGAAGCUCCUGAUCGAAGCCCCGGUAAACGGCGGCCGUAACUAUAACGGUCCUAAGGUAGCGAAAUUCCUUGUCGGGUAAGUUCCGACCUGCACGAAUGGCGUAAUGAUGGCCAGGCUGUCUCCACCCGAGACUCAGUGAAAUUGAACUCGCUGUGAAGAUGCAGUGUACCCGCGGCAAGACGGAAAGACCCCGUGAACCUUUACUAUAGCUUGACACUGAACAUUGAGCCUUGAUGUGUAGGAUAGGUGGGAGGCUUUGAAGCGUGGACGCCAGUCUGCGUGGAGCCGACCUUGAAAUACCACCCUUUAAUGUUUGAUGUUCUAACGUGGACCCGUAAUCCGGGUUGCGGACAGUGUCUGGUGGGUAGUUUGACUGGGGCGGUCUCCUCCUAAAGAGUAACGGAGGAGCACGAAGGUUGGCUAAUCCUGGUCGGACAUCAGGAGGUUAGUGCAAUGGCAUAAGCCAGCUUGACUGCGAGCGUGACGGCGCGAGCAGGUGCGAAAGCAGGUCAUAGUGAUCCGGUGGUUCUGAAUGGAAGGGCCAUCGCUCAACGGAUAAAAGGUACUCCGGGGAUAACAGGCUGAUACCGCCCAAGAGUUCAUAUCGACGGCGGUGUUUGGCACCUCGAUGUCGGCUCAUCACAUCCUGGGGCUGAAGUAGGUCCCAAGGGUAUGGCUGUUCGCCAUUUAAAGUGGUACGCGAGCUGGGUUUAGAACGUCGUGAGACAGUUCGGUCCCUAUCUGCCGUGGGCGCUGGAGAACUGAGGGGGGCUGCUCCUAGUACGAGAGGACCGGAGUGGACGCAUCACUGGUGUUCGGGUUGUCAUGCCAAUGGCACUGCCCGGUAGCUAAAUGCGGAAGAGAUAAGUGCUGAAAGCAUCUAAGCACGAAACUUGCCCCGAGAUGAGUUCUCCCUGAGACUUAGAGUCUCCUGAAGGAACGUUGAAGACGACGACGUUGAUAGGCCGGGUGUGUAAGCGCAGCGAUGCGUUGAGCUAACCGGUACUAAUGAACCGUGAGGCUUAACCUUACAACGCCGAAG